AGGAAUAUUGGUCAAUGGACGAGAGUCUGAACCAGCCAAGUAGCGUGAAGGAUGACUGCCCUAUGGGUUGUAAACUUCUUUUAUACGGGAAUAAAGUGGAGUAUGCAUACUCCUUUGUAUGUACCGUAUGAAUAAGGAUCGGCUAACUCCGUGCCAGCAGCCGCGGUAAUACGGAGGAUCCGAGCGUUAUCCGGAUUUAUUGGGUUUAAAGGGAGCGCAGACGGGGGAUUAAGUCAGUUGUGAAAGUUUGCGGCUCAACCGUAAAAUUGCAGUUGAUACUGGUUCCCUUGAGUGCAGUUGAGGCAGGCGGAAUUCGUGGUGUAGCGGUGAAAUGCAUAGAUAUCACGAAGAACCCCGAUUGCGAAGGCAGCCUGCUAAGCUGUAACUGACGUUGAGGCUCGAAAGUGUGGGUAUCAAACAGGAUUAGAUACCCUGGUAGUCCACACAGUAAACGAUGAAUACUCGCUGUUGGCGAUACACAGUCAGCGGCCAAGCGAAAGCAUUAAGUAUUCCACCUGGGGAGUACGCCGGCAACGGUGAAACUCAAAGGAAUUGACGGGGGCCCGCACAAGCGGAGGAACAUGUGGUUUAAUUCGAUGAUACGCGAGGAACCUUACCCGGGCUUAAAUUGCAGCGGAAUGUAGUGGAAACAUUACAGCCUUCGGGCCGCUGUGAAGGUGCUGCAUGGUUGUCGUCAGCUCGUGCCGUGAGGUGUCGGCUUAAGUGCCAUAACGAGCGCAACCCUUAUCUAUAGUUACUAUCAGGUCAUGCUGAGGACUCUAUGGAGACUGCCGUCGUAAGAUGUGAGGAAGGUGGGGAUGACGUCAAAUCAGCACGGCCCUUACGUCCGGGGCUACACACGUGUUACAAUGGGGGGUACAGAAGGCAGCUACCUGGCGACAGGAUGCUAAUCCCUAAAACCUCUCUCAGUUCGGAUUGGAGUCUGCAACCCGACUCCAUGAAGCUGGAUUCGCUAGUAAUCGCGCAUCAGCCACGGCGCGGUGAAUACGUUCCCG
rnacentral:rRNA from 1 species